CUCACGCACACAUAACUAGACACAAACACGCACACAUGUCAUUAGUAGUAACAUAUAAACAUAUAUACAUGCGCUCACCUCAACGCACCAUUUACCCCACAGCAGCCAACAGUUCGUGGGAAUCCCCUCUACAAUAAUGUAUGUUCGUUGAUUCUCUUACUUUCUGGACAAAUUCACACAACAGUUAUGACAUCAAACAGUAAAAGAAAGGAAGAAAAAGACUGUGGGAUGGAAGCUGACCUCAGUCCUUUCAAGAGAUUGCGUAUCAAUGUCCCAGGAACUCAAAUCUCACAGGAACGAAUGAGCAAGUAUAAGAAGGAAGCUGUCAAAAAUCUGCGUAAACAAGGUCAGUUGAAGUUGUCAAUCUACAUGAAUUCUGGCAUGCUGACAGUAAAUGUGAUUCAAGCACGAAACCUUCAAACCAAACGGAAGACAACAUGCGAUUCUGUUGUGAAGAUAUCACUAAUUCCUGAUGAACAAAAACGGACAAGAUAUUCUACCAAAAUGGUUGUUGACUCCAAUAACCCUGUCUAUGAUGACAAAAUAUCAUUUGAAUUGUUGCAAGAUGACAUCAGUAAACGUCUCAUGAUAUCAGUGUGGCAUAUAGACCAGUCUAACUAUGCCAAAGAUUAUCUUGGUUCAAUGUCAUUUGGUGUCUUACAUCUCAUGAAACCAAACAGGUGUGUUGAUGGUUGGUACCACCUCCUUAAUGAAAAAGUUGGCAGAAACAAGCAUUUAUUAGUGGCUGGAAAAUUAACACCAGAUUUACAGAUGAGAGGAUUACAUGGUAUUCCUCUAAUUAACAAAGACUUGUGGGGAAUGGAAUCUCUCAUUAUCUCUGUUGACCGUGGCAAAUCUGGCUAUGGGUUUUCUGUUGUUGAUGGAUGUCCCGUUCGUGUCAGCCGAGUUGAUGCAGCUUCUCCUGCAGCCGAGGCUGGUCUGAAAAUUAACGACCGAAUUGCCAAAGUAAAUGGAAAGAAUGUAUCUCGAUCCAUAGCUGUUAGCGUUGCUAAAUUGGUCAAAAACAGUAAAUACAAAGUGUCGCUUGAUAUACAAAGACCGAUGUCUUAUGAGAAUUUGGAAAAAUCACCAUGGCGAUGGAAAGGUAAAACUGAUGAUGAUGAUGAUAGGGCAGAAGAUGAGGGCAACACCCAAAAUGGUUCCAGUGAACAGAAUGCUGCCAAAGAGAACGAAGUGUCUGUUGAUGAAGAUGUGAUGUUAGGAAAUGGCUAUAAAAUGGCGACAAGCACACCUUUCCCAGGGAAGUUGGAUCGUAAAAUAUUCCAUUUAUCAAAGCCAGAUACGUCAGAAAGUAGGGCAGCAGCAAUCCAACAACUGGUUGAUUUGGAACGAGAAUAUAUCGAUUUUAUGCAUGGAGGUAUCGAGCAAUACUCUCGUCCAUUACGGCAUUGUAUUCUUAGUCAAAAACAACACACAGAACUCUUCCAGAAUAUUGAAAAGUUGGUGACAUUGUCAGAAUAUCUUCUGAAACAGCUUCAAUACAACGCACCAUCUUGUAGUUCCACAGAAACAGACGAUACAUCAGAGACUGAUUCUAACAUCAUACACAAUAUUGGUCUCAUUUAUAAAUCUAAGCUUCAGAUGAUCUAUCAAGCAUACAAGGUUUAUGCACAGGGCCUCGGUCAAGCCAACACUGUCCUGAAAGACCUUCAGAAUAAUGCAAACUUCAAAAUGUUCCUCAAGGAGUGUGUCUCAGCUGUGAAGCAGACCAGUAUCAGUGCAUUUAUCACCCGUCCUUCUCAGCAUGUCAAAGAGAUGUACCAAACUCUUAGGGAGAUAUUUUGCAACACCCCACAAGAGGAUUCCGACUACUUGAACCUGAAACUAGUUGUCGAGGGUCUCCAACUCUGUGCGACUUACAUCACCAAUUACACCUGUAUCAGGGCUCAGAAGCUGGCAUCAUCAUCAUCAUCGUCAUCACAUUCAUCAUCAAUGUCUAACAGUUCCCUAAGUUCUUACACCAAUUCGAGUCACUCGGGAGUUUCCUCUGCAGUCUUCGAUGGCAAUCCUUCCGAGAGACUCAAAUCUUCAGUGUGUGCAGUGAGCGUUUCAAGAGACUUCCAUUACGAAGGGAAAUUGCAGGUUUCAAAUACCGUCUGUGUGAAGAAAGAGCAGGCAUCAAUAUCGUACAUACGGAAUCUCAAACCAUCCAAGUCAAAUCUUGGACAAACUUCGUCAAACUGUUCCGAAGAUUCUGGUCAUUCUGUAGAUUCGCAACUGUCAAGUAUUCAGAAAAAAUUGUAUUUCCCAAGCACUGUUCCAUAUUUCCAGUUGUGUCAGGAAGAAAGACAUCUCAUUUAUUCCGGUGAGAUUUUCAGGUGGGAUGGAGAUGUUUGGAACAAGUUACAGUUGAUGUUAUUUUCUGAUCUCCUCUUACAAACUGAGAAAUCUGCUGAUGGUAGACUGACAGUUGUGGAGAGUCCACUCAUGUUGUAUUCUUUGCAAGGAAUUGAAUCUCAGAGAAAGCAUGCUACAGACUUCCUUCUUCAUGUAAUGUGUUCUUCGGAUAAAUCUUUGGCUUCCUUAAAGAAAUUGAUGUUCCGAGCACCUAAUAUUGAACAGAAGUACACCUGGAAGACUUUGAUUGAACAACGCAUUCUCACUUACCGAAGUGGGAGUCUUGAAUCAUUCAUUACGUCAGAUAUUUCUGGCGCUUCUGGAGUGAUUGUAUGAAAAUAACCGUGGCAACUGAUAUUCGUCAUUGUCACUGUCAUCAUCGUCAUCAACAUCAUCGUCAUCAUUCUACAUCCAAUUUCCCAUGCUUGCACGAAGCAGACAGAACUUGUUGAUGCACAUUUUCUACAGCUGGAUGCUCUUCCUGUCAACAACUCACCUAUUUCCAACCAAAGUAAUAUUUUCCCUGGAGCAGACUUUUUUUUUUUUACAGAAGACUGGAUUUGAACAACCUCACUUGCAUGUUGAUGAUAAUGCUCCUUUACGACCAUCACAUGAAGUCAAGACAAAGGUACAUGCUCACACACAUAUAUACAUACAUACACAAUGGCUUCUUUCAGUUUCCUGUUUCUUUAUUGCCCACAAGGGGCUAAACAUAGAGGGGACAAACAAGGACAGAGGGAUUAAAUCGAUU
rnacentral:misc_RNA from 1 species